CGCUGGUCUUGUUUUGUUGGUUUAGGGACCGGGGUAAUGAUUAAUAGGGAUAGUUGGGGGCAUUAGUAUUUGGAAGCCAGAGGUGAAAUUCUUGGACCUUCCAAGGACUGACUAUUGCGAAAGCAGUUGCCAAGGAUGUUUUCAUUGAUCAAGAACGAAAGUACAGGGAUCAAAGAUGAUUAGAUACCGUCGUAGUCUGUACCGCAAACCAUUCCGACUAGGGAUCAGUGGAGGUCGAGUGACGCCAUUGGCACCUUAUGAGAAAUCAAAGUGUACAGGGUCUGGGGGGAGUAUGGUCGCAAGAGUGAAACUUAAAGGAAUUGACGGAAGAGCACCACCAGUUGUGGAUGCUGCUGCUUAAUGGGAUUCAACACCGGGAAACUCACCAGG
rnacentral:rRNA from 1 species